rnacentral:rRNA from 1 species
GAUCAUGGCUCAGGAUGAACGCUAGCGAUAGGCUUAACACAUGCAAGUCGAGGGGCAGCAUGGUCUUAGCUUGCUAAGACUGAUGGCGACCGGCGCACGGGUGCGUAACGCGUAUGCAACUUGCCUCACAGAGGGGGAUAACCCGUCGAAAGACGGACUAAUACCGCGUACACUCCACCUUGGGCAUCCAAGGAGGAGGAAAUGAAUUUCGCUGUGAGAUAGGC